rnacentral:rRNA from 1 species
CCUACGGGAGGCAGCAGUGAGGAAUAUUGGACAAUGGGCGCAAGCCUGAUCCAGCCAUGCCGCGUGCAGGAAGAAGCAUCUAUGGUUGUGUAAACUGCUUUUGUACGGGAAGAAACACUGCUACGUGUAGCAGCUUGACGGUACCGUAAGAAUAAGGAUCGGCUAACUCCGUGCCAGCAGCCGCGGUAAUACGGAGGAUCCAAGCGUUAUCCGGAAUCAUUGGGUUUAAAGGGUCCGUAGGCGGUUUGGUAAGUCAGUGGUGAAAGCCCAUCGCUUAACGAUGGAACGGCCAUUGAUACUGCCAGACUUGAAUUACUAGGAAGUAACUAGAAUAUGUAGUGUAGCGGUGAAAUGCUUGGAUAUUACAUGGAAUACCAAUUGCGAAGGCAGGUUACUACUAGUUUAUUGACGCUGAUGGACGAAAGCGUGGGGAGCGAACAGGAUUAGAUACCCUGGUAGUCCACGCCGUAAACGAUGGAUACUAGCUNUUCGGGGUAACCUGAGUGGCUAAGCGAAAGUGAUAAGUAUCCACCUGGGGAGUACGUUGCAAGAAUGAAACUNAAGAUGACGNNGAGAGAGCGAGACGACGACGAGGGAGGAGG